rnacentral:rRNA from 1 species
AGCAGCCGCGGUAAUUCCAGCUCCAAUAGCGUAUAUUAAAGUUGUUGCAGUUAAAAAGCUCGUAGUUGAAUUUCGGGGUCAGUAGGUCGGUCGUGCCACUGGUAUGAACUGGUUUUACUGAUUCCUCCCUCUUGAAGAACUGUAAUGCCAUUAAUUUGGUGUCGCAGGGAAUCAGGACUGUUACUUUGAAAAAUUAGAGUGUUUAAAGCAGGCUUUAGCUUGAAUACAUUAGCAUGGAAUAAUGAAAUAGGACGUUUGAUCCUAUUUUGUUGGUUUCUAGGAUUGACGUAAUGAUUAAUAGGGAUAGUUGGGGGCAUUAGUAUUCAAUUGUCAGAGGUGAAAUUCUUGGAUUUAUUGAAGACUAACUACUGCGAAAGCAUUUGCCAAGGAUGUUUUCAUUAAUCAAGAACGAAAGUUAGGGGAUCGAAGACGAUCAGAUACCGUCGUAGUCUUAACCAUAAACUAUGCCGACUAGGGAUCGGAUGAUGUUAAUUUUUAAUGACUCAUUCGGCGCCUUAAC